rnacentral:rRNA from 1 species
GACGAACGCUGGCGGCGUGCUUAACACAUGCAAGUCGAACGGAAAGGUCCUGCUUUUGUGGGGUGCUCGAGUGGCGAACGGGUGAGUAACACGUGGGUAACCUGCCCUUGACUUUGGGAUAACUUCAGGAAACUGGGGCUAAUACCGGAUAGGAGCUCCUGCUGCAUGGUGGGGGUUGGAAAGUUUCGGCGGUUGGGGAUGGACUCGCGGCUUAUCAGCUUGUUGGUGGGGUAGUGGCUUACCAAGGCUUUGACGGGUAGCCGGCCUGAGAGGGUGACCGGCCACAUUGGGACUGAGAUACGGCCCAGACUCCUACGGGAGGCAGCAGUGGGGAAUAUUGCACAAUGGGCGGAAGCCUGAUGCAGCAACGCCGCGUGCGGGAUGACGGCCUUCGGGUUGUAAACCGCUUUCGCCUGUGACGAAGCGUGAGUGACGGUAAUGGGUAAAGAAGCACCGGCUAACUACGUG